rnacentral:rRNA from 1 species
AGCAGCCGCGGUAAUUCCAGCUCCAAUAGCGUAUAUUAAAGUUGUUGCAGUUAAAAAGCUCGUAGUUGAAUUUCGGGAUUAGUACGUUGGUCGUGCCUUCGGUACGUACUGGUGUUACUGAUUCCUACCUUCUGACGAACCAUCAUGUCAUUAAUUUGGUGUGGUGGGGAAUCAGGACUGUUACUUUGAAAAAAUUAGAGUGUUUAAAGCAGGCUCGCGCUUGAAUACAUUAGCAUGGAAUAAUGAAAUAGGACGUUGACCCUAUUUUGUUGGUUUCUAGGAUUGACGUAAUGAUUAAUAGGGAUAGUUGGGGGCAUUAGUAUUCAAUUGUCAGAGGUGAAAUUCUUGGAUUUAUUGAAGACUAACUACCGCGAAAGCAAUUUGCCAAGGAUGUUUUCAUUUAAUCUAAGAACGAAAGUUAGGGGAUCGAAGACGAUCAGAUACCGUGUAGUCUUAACCAUAAACUAUGCCGACAGGGAUCGGCGGAUGUUGCUUAUAGGACUCCGCCGGCACCGUUAUA